AGCCUGAACGCUGGCGGCGUGGCUAAGACAUGCAAGUCGAACGGGUGUAGCAAUACACCAGUGGCGGACGGGUGAGUAAUGUAUCGCUAACGUGCCCUGGAGCCAGGGAUAGCUGCCCGAAAGGGCAGGUAAUACCUGAUGAAAUAACUUUAUCGCAUGAUGAGGUUCUCAAAGCAGCAAUGCAC
rnacentral:rRNA from 1 species